ACCAGCCAGCCUCACCCGCGCCCCAGAGCAAGUCCCCGGCGAGCCCCUGCAGGGGCUCAUCCUGUGCAGUAGCAGGUGUGAGCAUCCAUGCAGCGUUUUGAUGGUCAUGUAUGAUACUGCAUACAGCA
rnacentral:snoRNA from 1 species